GCUACGUACAUUGGAGAAGCCAAAAAUAUAUAUGUUGAAUCCGGGCAAAAUACGUUUGCAGUCAUGGCGCCUGCAAUAAGGCACUCAAGCAUUCCGAGAUCUUGCAAGCAGUACAGGCGUUCGCCAACACCUUGAACCCAGGAAUCUAAGCCAUGGGACCAGCUAUCGCACUCCAGCGUGCGAAUGGACAGCGGGGGAAACAAAGUUAUUGCUGGAUUAUGAGCAGUAUUUUCCCCGGGUUGGUCCCAUGAAGAAAUUCCAACAUGAAAAGGAAAUAUUUGCCCGCAUAGCUGCAAAUCUCCAUCAAACAAUGGGGAUAACGAGGACCGGAGAGCAAUGCUGCAGUCGCUACAAAACUAUAGUUAGGCGCAAGACGGCUGUUACAAGCCAAAAUAAGAAAUCGGGAAAUUCUCCCUGCGAGAUGCCAUAUGAGGGAGGAACUGGCAUAGAUGAGCGCUCAGCAUGACAGCAUCAAGCCAGAAGAGCUAAGGGAUGGCUACGGCAUCAUUUCAAGAAAAGAGAUUAGCACUGUGUCCAACAAAAAAGGAAGUUGGUCAGGGGAGACAGAUGAGAUACAGGACAGAUGCCAGAUUGAUGACAAUUCGCAAAGCUCGCAGAGCACAGAGUGCAUCGACAGGGCACAUGACUGACGCUGAUGUACAAAGGACAAUAUCCUCUCGUCUGUCCACUUCCAGAUUGCAAGAAAUUAAAAUUUUUUUUAAAGAAAUGACGCAGCUUCAAGCGCAGACGGAUGCACAGAGAGCAGUACGGCACGAGGAGAGAAAAAAGCAGUUAGAGGAAAGCCGGAAAGAGGUCGAGGCAGGACAAGGAGAAAAUGGCACUGCUCAGCCAUGCCCCUAGCUUUGCUUUGGAUGACGAGCGCUAAGUGAAAAAGAACAUGAAUAAUGACACCGGAGAUUCCGGACACAGUGGAGAAAUUACCCGUUACAGUACGUGUACAAUGGAUACGUCGCAAUGCACAUCCCACACAAGCCUUAGUGGAUGCAGCGAGCCAUAAGAAAACUUCUCGUCCACUUCAAUUGGCCCCCACCUCUCCGGAGACAAGGCUCCUCACAGAAAAAGAACACCUUCGGCGCGCCGCGCGGGCACUUCUCCCACUGUGUUGCACUGACCUCCCUGGCGGCCUAGCGCGCUGGGAAGAGUUCUUGUUACGAAGGUUACGCCCCCGAGUCGCCCUCCCCCCUGCAUUAACCUAGUUGCGGUCAGCCCUGUACCGUGCCUCCAUCAGCGAUUCCUGCCCCUUCUGUCCCGCUCCUGUCUGCGAGGUGGGCAAUGGGCACCUCCUCUGGACUUGCCCUUCUCUACAUGCCCUCCGCCAGAAACACCUGCUUCGAUGUGGACCACCCCUAGUUCGGCCGCCAGAUGUAGACAGUUGGAUCUUGGGGCCCCACCACUGGACAUUGCUGGACUUCCUCCGAGAUUCCGGCGUGUGCACGUUUACAUAUUUCUUUAUGCCAGAAGGCACG